CUCGCUCGCUUCGGAAACGGGAGCUCGCUGCGGCGUGGUCUGGGAAGUGGGAGCGUCGGCAGCGGCUAGGGGAGGGAGUUUGCGGCGGCGGGCAGCGACGGCGGGGGCGGUGGAGGGCAGCGCCCUUCCGCCCUCCUCGGGACGGGCCGGUACCGCUGUGGCGGCCGCCGGAGGAGGAGGGGGAGUGGAAGAGAGGGAGAGGGUUCCUCCCUUCCCUUACCUUCCCUAGACUAACCUCGCCACCUAGACACGGGAACGGUAGAGAAGAAAAGAAGUGGCUAAGGUCCUCCUCUAGCUUCACCCUCCAUCUGCUCGUCCUCGCGGCGCAGGCGCUGUCGCUACUCGCUGCUGGGUCCAAGAGGAGAGGGUACCGUCCCCAGCCGCUCACCGUUGUCUACGCCCUGUGGUUGACCACCGCGUUGCCUGUCGCUCUCCGCCCUGUGGUUGACCCACGCGGAGAGCGCCGGCUGAAGGUGCCGCCGCUGCAGCAAAUGGACCCGCGGACGAAGAAAGGCUGAGUCGCUAGGGGCGCCCGUGGCUACCUGCCGCUGCCCGUCGUGCACGCCGGCGCCUCGGCGCGCGAGGACUGGCUGCUGCUCCUACUGCCCUGCAUGCGGUGACUGCACAUGUCGCCGUUGGAGCGGCGGUGCCCGCCCAGAGCACGACCGACCUAGAACCCCGCCAUCGUCAUGAACCACGUCGCGGCGGCGCCGCUGAUGCCGUCGCAGCUCCAGCAGCAGGAGGAGUAGGCGUGUCCCUUCGACCUGACCCUCCAAACGACGAAGGCCAGCCGUCUGCUACCGAUACUGCGAUACGGGUCGUGCUCACGAUUGCGGUAGUGCUGGCCGUGGUGACCGUGGUCGUCGGCAUGCCACACGAGAGGCCCUACGACGUCAGCUUCCCAGCUCGUCCUGAUACCUACGGUCGUUUGUUCGGACACGUCUGUCGUUACGUAGUUAGUUUAGCCUACCUCUUGUAGUGUGUUGUCCAUUUGUAAGAACAUAUGACUAUAACUUUUUAAUGUAGAAACAAACUAAGUCUAUCAAAAAUCGUUCUCCUACCUAUAUGACACUACAAUAAAGACUAAUUAUUAAAAAACCGUUUUAAAAUACUAUUCGGAAAGAGGUCCUGUAUUUCUUUUACCACCGUGAAACCCAAAACUUCUGCGGCGGGUAGCAUCCUGAUGCUUGUACCCUGCGAGCCAGCUCAAAAAGAAUUGAGCAGUCCUAAGAGUACGACGUUUAAAUCAUUGCCCCGUUUAAAAACCCACAGGACUACACAAACGCCUAACUACUUUUAAACCGCUCCCUCCAGUAUUUGGUAGCGAGCGACGUCGUGUAGUUAACAACUUAAGCAAGCUUCCUCGACAGUUAACAACUUAAGCGAACUUCCUCUACCUCGAGCAAACCGACUUAAACGAUGACUCAACGGUGUAAAACUCCCGGACGUUAACCUCUUAUGUUGUGAACUCUAUUGUUAACUUCUUAUGAUCUCAUUACUAUUGAUGACGUUCUCACUACAUAAAAGAAAAACAACCUCUAAAAGACGUAGAAAAUACCUGCCAUUGUAAAAUCUAUUGUUAAACUACACGAUUGGUAGUUCUAGUUGAAGCUGUACAAACCAGAGAUUUUCAAUGAUAACUGGUAGUAACCACGUAGGAUAUUCCAUAUCAGUCAUGGUACUCAUUGAAUGGUCUGUAACUGACAUCUUGAACGAUAGGUUGAGAACACUUUAGAUUGGUAGAAUAAGUAAAUGCUAUGGAUAUACAUACACCAUGUGUUAGACUUUAUCAUCUUCCCCUUUUAUUUCGUAAUUACACCUCAUACAAGGUUACCUUUAGAAGUCCUUGUGGAACUUCCAGACUCACGUUAAAAAGAAAUCAAGAGACACUCGAAUUUUUACGUUGACUACACCGGGUACGUUGACUCUAAUUUUUGUACCUCUUCUUAGUAUUUUCUAGAGCGACUUUUACGGGAGCAAGGCGUGAAGCACACCUGUCCGUCGCGGGAAAUGGAAGCUUCAGAGCUUUUUACCCGACCCACUACGCCCACGGAGUUACGAACUAUGGUACAAGACAUUCUCCGGUUCACGUCCGUUUUACCUAUUCAGACAUUGACCUUGAGACCUAUCAACUAGGAGACUUACCGCUUUUUAAAUAGUUUCAACGACUCCAAGUCCCCAGACUUUAAUUCGGUAAACACCUAUCAAAUAGAUUUACGGGUUUUGGGUGAAUCUCGAGGUCUCUCCAGAACAAAAGAACAUGAUACCUAAAUUCCACUAAGAGUUCUCCUUGUUCAGCGGUACCUGGCUACUCUAGCUCUCUGCUGAGACGCCAACGCACCUCACCGCCGACUCUCCUCUCCGUUGUUGAGCAACAGACACUGCCGGGCUCGCAAACGCUCUCCCCUACCUCGCCCCCAACGUAGCAGUGACGGUCAACGGUCUCACCUACCUCACCACCGGCGUGCCUGCGCGAGGACCUCCACGACCAUACGUGGGACUAAAACUCGGACCCUCCAAGGAACGAGACGGGAUAGAAGUUCCCACAAGUAGAUGAAACCAUAGCACGAGACCUCAGUCCUGCUACGUGAUUACGUCUAAGCGUUACUCGUGUUCAGACGUUGGAACUUCCUUUUGGGCAACGUUGACUACUGUAUUAUAAUGCAGCGUUGUUCUUACAUAUCUCGACGUCUCGAGACACCUAGGAAGAGAAGUGUUUUCGGAACCCCGCACCUACCGCUCUUCGCCUCCGCACACGGAUCUCAUCGCCUGGUACUACCUAACUACUCGACUACAGUGCACUGCAUGUGUGCACCGCCGACCAAUCCGAGGCCGCCGACCUCGGUAGUAGCUGGUACUACGGCGCGGUCCUCGUGUUCCCGAUUCUGCUCCUGUACAACCACGGCUACUUUAUUCCACGACAGCCAACUACCCCCGGAUUGGUACUCAGAUUGACUUUCACUUGCCCUCGCUACACGUCUUUUUUUAGAAUCGUGUAUCCGACUUAAACAUAUCAUGAAGCUUAAAUAAUCCGUCAUGGGGGAGGUAAACAUAUAGUGAAGGCUUAUGAUCAAGUCCAAUAAUCCGUCAUGAUAACUUAAAUUCCUAACUAUGAAACUUCUAAAUUUUUCCAAUGAUUUGAAACAUGGUUCAGAUGAUAAUACAUACCCUUCUUGUACGCG
rnacentral:rRNA from 1 species